UAUCCAAUGUACACUCUAUGGCUCCGGCCCAGAACACAAUGGUUGGAGUUCACAUGAUUCAUGAUGAAUGUCUCUGCGUGAUUAGGGCUCUCAAGACCCUACUCACUCCUAUUUGAU
rnacentral:snoRNA from 1 species